rnacentral:rRNA from 1 species
AACGAACGCUGGCGGCAUGCCUAACACAUGCAAGUCGAACGAUGCCUUCGGGCAUAGUGGCGCACGGGUGCGUAACGCGUGGGAAUCUGCCCUUGGCUUCGGAAUAACAGUUAGAAAUGACUGCUAAUACCGGAUGAUGUCCCCCUGAGAGAUCUUGGGGACCAAAGAUUUAUCGGCCAGGGAUGAGCCCGCGUAGGAUUAGGUAGUUGGUGGGGUAAAGGCCUACCAAGCCGACGAUCCUUAGCUGGUCUGAGAGGAUGAUCAGCCACACUGGGACUGAGACACGGCCCAGACUCCUACGGGAGGCAGCAGUGGGGAAUAUUGGACAAUGGGGGGAACCCUGAUCCAGCAAUGCCGCGUGAGUGAUGAAGGCCUUAGGGUUGUAAAGCUCUUUUACCAGGGAUGAUAAUGACAGUACCUGGAGAAUAAGCUCCGGCUAACUCCGUGCCAGCAGCCGCCGUAACAC